rfam:Triticum aestivum genome assembly, contig: Triticum_aestivum_CS42_TGACv1_scaffold_032478_1BL
UUUAUACUCCCUCUGUCCCAAAAUUCUUGUCUUAAAUUUGUCUAAAUAUGGAUGUAUCAAGUCAAGUUUGAGUGUUAGAUACAUCCGUAUCUACACAAAUCUAAGACAAGAAUUUUGGGACGGAGGGAGUACAUG